AAGAAAGGAGCACAAUCUGCACAGUGUAAAAUCUAGCACAGUCGUGAAUUUAGAAACACGGAGGAAAAAAGAGGGCGAGAAUUGAAAGGUGCUCUCUGCACCGAAGUGAUGGAUACUAGCGCCUCUUGUGCAAUCUGAAACCGGAUUGCUGGAAGGCUCCAGUGGCCUCUGCGUCUUCAGACCACUUUCCCCAUGCAAAAGGCCCAUCUGUAAAUUAAAUUUUAAUUCAUCACCUUUAGGCAAAGGCAGGUUGCCAGGGAGGUGCAGCCAGCUGGGCAAGCCCAUCAAGCAGCAAAACACACACCUGCUGAAGGAAGGAAGGGACAGGAGGGAAGGCAAGGGACAAGGCCCAGCUUUGGCUUCCCCCUUCCUCAUCUCGCCUGCCUGCAAAAGAAAAACUCCCCGAGGACAAUGGUGCCAGCAGGCGAAAGGGCUGCAGGCUGCUCUUCUCAGCUCACCUGUCAGAGCCCAGUAAACGGAACACCCUUGUUUCAUCAGAGAUCUCCUGGGUAACCUGCACAAUACCAAAAAAAGGACACAAUGACAAGAGGGGAAGUGAGGAAGAGUGAGGAAAAUCCUCAGGGACGACUCGCACCCUGGACAGCACUUCUUUACCCUCCUACCAUCGGGAAAGAGAUAUAGAAGUACAGCCACCCACACAAACAGGCUAAAGAACAGUUUCUAUCUGUGGGCUGUCAGACUCCUGAAUGGGAAAUUACAUCAUAACUACAUAGUACGAUGGUCUUGCAGGGCCAGCGCAACAUGUAACAUGUUCACACUGGUGCAAUAGGACUGGGUGUUUGUUAAUAUGAUUUAUUGGGUUAGGGAUUUUCUGUCUUCACUGUCAGUUGUAUUGUGUUUCGGGGUGCACUGAGGGAGCUCAAUCAAUCUCAUUGUACAUAAGUUGUGCACUGACAAAUAAAUUAUUAUUAUUAAGAAAAAUCAGAACAGCUGGCUAGAAACUGGCAUUCUGAAUUGUGUCAGAAUUAUAAUUCCCAAUUGGUGUAUUAAAUCAUGGAAAUCAAAACUUUAUGUAUAUGUUGGACUACAAUGGAAAACCAAAAAGCAAUACUAAAUCUGAAAUAUAUGAAUGUCUAUUUAUAUACAGCCUGGGAAACCUCCCUCUACUAUGUGUAUGUGCAUGGCAUAAUUUACUUUUUGAUACAUAAUGUUUCAUGUUGUUAAUCUGAGAGAUUAAGCCUGAGCAAUUUAUACUUGCAUGGAAUCUCAACCUGUUGAUUCUAAUAUUUCUGAUCAGAGCAGUCACACAGGAUGGAAUUAAGACAAUUAUAGUCCAACAUAUGUGAAAACUAUCACUCUCAGAAGGGCACUGUGAGUUGUAGAGUGGUAGAACUGGAAGAUUCCUUGUAAACUGAACUGAGGAUAUCAACUCAAG